rnacentral:lncRNA from 1 species
GGAAGUGGGGAAGGGAAGUGAGGGGUAGAGGAAGGCGGGUCCCUGGCUCGGCUCUACCCCCAUGGAUCUAGGUGGGCUCAAUGUCAUCACAAGGGUGCUUAAGAGGGAAAGAGGAAGCCAUGAGGGUCAGAGUCAAAGGAAGACUUGAAGAUACUACACUGCGGACUUUAAAGAUGAAGGAAGGGGCGAAAACCAAGAAUGUGGGAAGCCUCUAGAAGCUAGAGAAGGCAAGGAAACAAAUUUUCCACUAGAGCCUCCAGAAGGAACACAGCCCUGCUGACCCACUGUAAUGUCUGACCUCUAGAUGUGUAAGGGUAGUAAGACUGAAAGUCUCAGAAAGGCACUGUUAAAUUCUUAUUCCUCAACUAUGCAACUCAAAACUGGGGUCCUCAGCAGUGAGCGAGGGGUGAGAGAAGACACUGUAUAAACAUGGCACAUCCUCCUGGAAAGUCAACUUUACUCAAAGGUUCUUACACACAGUGACAGCUAGCAGAGUCUAAAAUGCUGACAUUAUGACUUAGAGAUGUGAUAAAGAGAAACAUCUAUUGCAUUUUCUGUAAGUAAAUGUGGUGCCGGCAUUGAGAGAACAUACGUAAUCAGAUACCUGUUCUCCCUGAGUUUCUUAAUUUAAGCCUCGCGAUUCCUAAUUAGCAGUUAGAUUGCAUCCAUUGUUAUUUUGUCUUUGGUUAUCAAUGAUGAUCAACCUUUGCUAAACAAAGAUAUGUCAUCAUGCUGGGGACACUCAUGGAUUUUUUUUUAAAGGUUUUAACAUUUGAUAAUAGGUUUUCCAAUAGCUUGAAGGGUAGCUUUUAACAUUUCUUUUCCAGCUGAAGUAUUUCCUGAGUUCUGUCCAAGCCCUCUGUAGUUAAAGAAAAGGCUUUUUGACACUGAAUAGACAAUGUUGUGGCUUUUUUUUUCCUUCUUCAGACAAAUGUAUAGGCAUUUAGACCGCCACGUUGUACUCUCGUAAUUGAGAUACCUUGCAGAAAUGGCAAUUAAGGGUGACUCGUGUCAAAAAUAUUCAGGACAAAUUACAUUUUACUGAUUUUUAAAAACUUUCAAAGGUACUCUCUCCUCUUUCUUUCUCCUUUCUCUCUUCCUGCCUCCCUCCCACCCGCUCCUCGUUUUUUCUUUUAAAUAUUAAGUAAACUAUUUGCAUUUUUACGUCUCAUCAAAGUUGUUCCAGGUUUUUUCUGGGUUUACUGAAACUCCAAAUCGACUACUCAGAUCAAAACAAUUAGUGAAGUCUAAGGUAUUCUUAAUUCCUGAAAUGAAAACAGAAUGGACGUUCGGGACGUUCUGUUUUGCUCUGGCUACCCGCUUGGCUUCUCGCUCAGAAUAUUCUUGCUCUCAAGUUAGUUCCAGUUCUGUUUAUUUUGUCCUGAGCUCAGUGAACUUUCCAAAGCCCUACUCUUCAAACAACACUUUUUUUCCCCCGCCCCGUGAGCUGGAGUUUAUUUUGUGCUCACCCUUCAUUCUGUGAGUUGUGAAUAAUUUUAACACAAAGAAAAAAAAAUCUCCUCCUGACCACGGAGAGAAGAGGGGAUUUUAGAAUAAAGAUAAAAAUUGCUGUUUUAGCCCCCAAAGCAAAGGACUUGGGAAAGAAGAGAAAAGGGGGGAAAAUAGAACAGCAAAGGAAAAAAAAAAAAAAAAAAAA